GCUUUCUCCUUGCUUUUGAGCAGCAGAGACGGGAUUGAGCCCGUAAAUCGGCCUCCCAGGAUUUCUUUGUAGGGAGAUACCGUGUCCCGCUCCCCCAAGCAACAAAAUAAAUGGGGGCGGGAAAAUAAAUACCGUGUCCCGCUCCCCCAAGCAACAAAAUAAAUUUAUCGAUUGAUAAAUUGAUAAUCCUGAUGGGUAAGAAAAAAUUGGAAAUGUGGCUUUCCCCCCUCUUUUGAGUGCGGAGAAUGUGGACUUGCCGGUGCACGUUACAAUAGCAACAAACUUUUGAACUAUAACUCCCGAGAUGGUUUGGGGGAUACCGUCGUGAUCGCUAAGACUUAUGGGAGUUGAAGUCAUGGAAUCGUAUAAGAUUUAGCCCAACCAAGUAUGGAUUUAACUAUUUAUUAUUAAGGACAGAAAGCGUGACGUCACCAAGCAUUGGACUGACAUUGAAAAAAUGUAAAAAAAAAAAAAAAAGUAAAGGCCAAUCAUACUGUGAUUUGUUGUUGUUUUUUCAAAAAUAUUACCUCCUUCCAAAGCUGGCUGAGGAAUUCUGGGAGUUGAAGUCCACAAGUCUUAAAGUUGCCAAGGUUGAGAACCCCUGCUUUUUCCAGAUGAAGAAGUGGUGUUUUGUAUAAUCUCAGAGGCACCCUUGCCCAGCCAUCAGCUCUUUUAGAUGUAGCAUAGUGGAGCGAGAGACGCAAGUCAAUCUUCUGACUCCGAGGAUUCGGAACAGUUCUGUUAAUAUUUUUUAUACCCUGUCUGCUUUUUGAGAGUUUAAAUGCAGAUGGCCGUAUCUUUUCCCGGAUUUCGCAUUACUGUUGAAAAUGUUCGUAAACAUCUCCAUAGUUUUUCCAUUGAAAAAGUGGUUACCUUUUCCCCUCGAGGCAGUGGUAGAAUUGUACAAUUGUUUGAUAAUCAUUUAUUGAACAUUUAUGCCACCCAAAGCUUAAGAGGCCUAGACGAGCUGAUACUGCCUUUUAAAAUGCUAAUAAUAAUGCUAAUAAAAUUUGAGGCAAUAAAAUAACCACACAGGGUCUCUCGCGUGGGUGAACAUCCUGCAUGUGUUAAUCCCCAAAGGACUCCUUCUUUUGAAGCACAAUGUCUUCCCCAAAUUGUUCGAAGGUCAUCAACUCAGAUGACAAGGCAGAGCGUUGCAGAUCAAGGCGGCUUGCAUCAAGGCGACAAGCUAGUUUGGAGGGGAGAUUUAUGUGGAACAUUCAAGAGCAAGGGAUAAUUAGCUUUUGAAAAGCUAAUUCUGGCACAUGUGUGAGAAGUAUUGAAGAUGGAGAGCAUUAUAGCGACUUAUUGACUGGAUUUUUCCACAGGAAUCCUGCCUGCCUUCAUAAGCUGGUUCCAUGGUUAAAACAUGCGUAUGACGAGCAUGCAAAUUAUGACUGUCUGGCUCCAUCACGUGAAGACGGAAGCAACUCUGAGUCUUCUAUUAUUACCAUCUCUCCCAAUGAGACUGAAACCCAGGCACCAGAAGUUAAUGCUUUCAGAAGUGAUACAGGCCAGGCACCCUAGGAUGAUGAAACGCCUGACCCAAAAAUGUGCAGUAUUCUGACAGCACCAUGAUUUGAAAAGGAAGAAGAAACAUCACCGCAGGGGAAAACAAAACAAAAAAUAAAAGAGAUGGCAGUAAACAUAAGCACACAGCCCAAAUUAUAGAAUGGAGACUUUUUUUGAAUAAAUACAUAGCCGGUAUUCCAGAGCCGAUGUUGAAAGUAGGCCUUUCAAUGAAUUUAAUGGAUUUCUAUUUUUGAUCUAGAAUUUUAAUUUGUAUACCUGCCCACUUGCAUAUGACUUGCGAGGGUCAGGGGGCUUAACAAAAGUUAAAAACAAUUGUAAACAAUAAUCCAAACUGUUGUGCUUGGGAAAAGGGGAAUCACAAUAAGGACAUUCAAACUUGAGUUUUGAGUUUGACAUUCAAGCCACUCAUAUAUGCCAGAUGUAAAAACAAAGAUCAUCUGUUAGUAACUAAUUGAAAGGUUCCGUUUCUGUGGUGCCAUUCUAUCAUUAUUACUGUCAACUGCAAUUACAACAGAAGAUAUUGAGAGGAAUUGGUAGGAUUUUUAUCAGACUUAAUUCUUUUUUUUUGUCACACCGUGUUGUAUCAGUGACUUUCCCUUAAUAAAUUAUCUCAAUGCUUGGGCUUCUUGACUGUUUUUUCUUUUCUGAUUGAAUUUGCCUGUUUACGCUAGCUGCCUUUCUGCAAAUGGCUGGGCGCUUUGGUAAAAAUUUCUUCAGAG